rnacentral:sRNA from 1 species
AUAUGCCCUAUCGCAGGCGGGGAGAGGGGACUUAAGAGCGUUCCGCGAGUCCCUUCGCCCCGCCUGCGGGGAGAAGG